UACGUAGGGGGCUAGCGUUGUCCGGAUUUAUUGGGCGUAAAGAGCGUGUAGGCGGCCAGGUAGGUCUGCUGUGAAAACUCGAGGCUCAACCUCGAGACGUCGGCGGAAACCAUCUGGCUAGAGUCCGGAAGAGGAGAGUGGAAUUCCUGGUGUAGCGGUGAAUGCGCAGAUAUCAGGAAGAACACCCGUGGCGAAGGCGGCUCUCUGGGACGGUACUGACGCUGAGACGCGAAAGCGUGGGAGCGAACAGG
rnacentral:rRNA from 1 species